AGGCCAGGAGGUUUUAACCUACGUGUUAAAAAAAAGGCAGGGUGAGGUAUGAAAGUCCCUCCCUCCCUCCCUCCCUCUCUCUGUGGCUUAUCCAUCUUCUGGAUCAGUAACCAUAGUUCAUUUCUCGCAAGCAAGUUUAGGAGUCAUUGAUACAUGUUUAAUUGUACUCCCUCCUUCCCAAUUUAAGUGUCGUUUUAGGCAAAUCUCAAAUACCAAGACUGCAGUUAAUAACGUCUCCUAAUGAGCUGCAUGCAGCCGUAGUUAUUUUCUCCACCACCAAUUACCGGCGCAUGCACUCUUCCCAUCAACUUUUCAACGCACGCUCCGCGGCUGUACUUAAUUUUCGCUAGCAGUAAUCACGCGCACAUGCAGUCUCCUAGCCAAACCGAGUGCUAAAUUUCUUCGCAUGCAGUUUUCCAACGCAUGAUCGAGUAGUUAAUGUGGGUAUGCUAAUAAGACAGUUAAUUUGAGAAAAAAAUUAAAAUCUAAAACGACACUUAAAUUGGGAAGGAGGGAGUAGUAAUAUUGCGGAAACAAUAAUGAACGGUCUGAUGUAUGAUUGCAAUGCUUACCUAGCAGAAUGAUCUUCCAGCUCAGCAACAAAGAAACGAUCGACAGUAAAAGUCAACAUAAGAUCUGGACAUUAGAGCACUUUAAGAUCUGGACAUGCUGAAUACAAAUAACCGAUUGAGCACACUGUAUAUUACAGAUAACAGCAGAUGCAUGGAUCGUCCGAUAAGUCAUCAAUUACGAGAAAAACCUCAGAUCCACACCGCUACACCUGCAAGAGGGGACAAAAGGUGAAUUACAUGCCUGUAUAAGAAACUUAACUCAUUGUUCAAUAUAUAUUUUUGCGACGAACUCAUUGUUGAUUAAUGGGGCACAAUUGAGGUCAACAAUUCUGGAAGAAAAUUCCCACCCAAGGAUCCUCUUCAUGCAUGCAUGGCAUAAACCAGC
rnacentral:lncRNA from 1 species